rnacentral:rRNA from 1 species
UACGGAGGAGGCAAGCGUUAUCCGGAAUUAUUGGGCGUAAAGCGUCCGCAGGUGGCACUUCAAGUCUGUCGUCAAAGACUGGGGCUUAACCCUGGAAAGGCGGUGGAAACUGAAGCGCUAGAGUCCGGAAGGGGCGAGUGGAACUCCUGGUGUAGCGGUGAAAUGCGCAGAUAUCAGGAAGAACACCUAUGGCGAAGGCAGCUCGCUGGGACGGUACUGACGCUGAGACGCGAAAGCGUGGGGAGCAAACGGG